UACGGAGGGGGCUAGCGUUGUUCGGAAUUACUGGGCGUAAAGCGCACGUAGGCGGCUUUGUAAGUUAGAGGUGAAAGCCCAGGGCUUAACCCUGGAAUUGCCUUUAAGACUGCAUCGCUAGAAUCGUGGAGAGGUGAGUGGAAUUCCGAGUGUAGAGGUGAAAUUCGUAGAUAUUUGGAAGAACACCAGUGGCGAAGGCGACUUACUGGACACAUAUUGACGCUGAGGUGCGAAAGCGUGGGGAGCAAACAGG
rnacentral:rRNA from 1 species